rnacentral:rRNA from 1 species
CAAAUUACCCAAUCCCGACACGGGGAGGUAGUGACAAUAAAUACUGAUACAGGGCUCUUUUGGGUCUUGUAAUUGGAUUGAGUACAAUUUAAAUCCCUUAACGAGGAACAAUUGGAGGGCAAGUCUGGUGCCAGCAGCCGCGGUAAUUCCAGGUCCAAUAUCGUAUAUUAAAGUUGUUGCAGUUAAAAAGCUCGUAGUUGAACCUUGGGCCUGGCUGGCCGGUCCGCCUCACCGCGUGUAUUGGUCCGGCCGGGCCUUUCCUUCUGGGGAACCUCAUGCCCUUCACUGGGCGUGCUGGGGAACCAGGACUUUUACUUUGAAAAAAUUAGAGUGUUCAAAGCAGGCCUUUGCUCGAAUACAUUAGCAUGGAAUAAUAGAAUAGGACGUGUGGUUCUAUUUUGUUGGUUUCUAGGACCGCCGUAAUGAUUAAUAGGGAUAGUCGGGGGCAUCAGUAUUCAAGCGUCAGAGGUGAAAUUCUUGGAUUGCUUGAAGACUAACUACUGCGAAAGCAUUUGCCAAGGAUGUUUUCAUUAAUCAGUGAACGAAAGUUAGGGGAUCGAAGACGAUCAGAUACCGUCGUAGUCUUAACCAUAAACUAUGCCGACUAGGGAUCGGACGGUGUUAGUAUUUUGACCCGUUCGGCACCUUACGAGAAAUCAAAGUUUUUGGGUUCUGGGGGGAGUAUGGUCGCAAGGCUGAAACUUAAAGAAAUUGACGGAAGGGCACCAUCAGGUGUGGAGCCUG